rnacentral:misc_RNA from 1 species
GAUGAAGAACGCAGCGAAAUACGAUAAGUAAUGUGAAUUGCAGAAUUCAGUGAAUCAUCGAAUCUUUGAACGCACAUUGCGCCCGCCAGUAUUCUGGCGGGCAUGCCUGUUCGAGCGUCAUUUCAACCAUCAAGCCCCCGGCUUGUGUUGGGGACCUGCGGCUGCCGCAGGCCCUGAAAACCAGUGGCGGGCUCGCUAGUCACUCCGAGCGUAGUAAUACAUCUCGCUCAGGGCGUGCUGCGGGUUCCGGCCGUUAAAAAAGCCUUAUUUACCCAAGGUUGACCUCGGAUCAGGUAGGAAGACCCGCUGAACUUAAGCAUAUCAAUAAGCGGAGGA